UUUGUCUGAAAUGGUAUAGGGUUUCCUGCCUGAGCAGGGGGUUGGACUAGAUGACCGCCAAGGUCCCUUCCAACAUCAUCAUCAUCAUCAUUAUUAUUAUUAUUAUUUAGAUCACAAGUUGGGUGUGUAUAUGCUUAGUUUAUGCAGCUGUUGUAGGUAGCUUUUUUCUGUCUCUAUCUUUUAAAGAGAGAAAUAGCUAAUCAGCUGGAAGAGGAAGAGGCAAGGUGGAAAAGGAUAAUAUUAGUUCAGUGUAAAGAAUUGUGGUAUUAUAUGCCAACUAGAACUUUUACGUUUAUUCUGCCUACAACUUCUUUGGCCUUUCAGCACAAGUGAAUAUAUGGGAGGACAUAGUGUGCACUGAAUCCUGAUAUAAUUAUGUGAUCCCAGGAAAUAUAUGUUUGAGUGAAGGAGGCACCGAUAGUUUGCUGCGACUGGUGCUCUUUGUUUCUAAUAUAUAUAUUCCUGGGGAUUGUUCUAUAUCCCAACUACUUGUGUUGGAACUUGGGUAAAAUUUUAGUGAGGGCAAAGGAAUGUGUUCAUACGAAAUAUGGAAUGCUAUGUUUCAGAAAAUUUCACAGUAACUUGCAUUAGGUGGGGAGCAUUCUCUAUUUAGCCCAAAUUUGGUCAUUAAAGAUAAAUGUGGAAAUGAUUUUUAAGUGCAGAUAGCUGAAUCUUUCUGAAAAGAGUUUCCUGACUCUCGCUUAGCUGCAAGUUACAUAUUUUAAAUGAAACAAAGAUAAUCUUAUUUUAAAAAUCCUGCUCUUAGACAUAAGUCUGAAAGUUGUCCCAUUCCUCAAUUUUCUCUACUAAACUUUCUGACUUCCUUCUUUUUAAAACAAUUUUAGUCUUUCUCUGUUUUGUGUAGAUGGCUUCUUGUAUUUGUCUAGUAGUAGAUAACUAAAUAUUCCUUCUCUCUGAUCCUUGUUGCUUUGCUUCUUGCUCUGUGCUGUCUCUUGAUGCUGCAUUUGUCCUUGGCUGUCAUGGUGUGGGGUGCAGACUUGUGUGGUGCGAAUCCUUGGAGGCAGAUGUGCAUUAAUUCUGCUGUUGAAUGUUAAACCCUGCAGGUAAUUUUCCCAUGAAUUAACGUAAAUCAAUAUAAAAACAGUGGCUGACUUUUCGACGUGCUGUUUUAAGUAAUAGCAAGAUACUUUGGAAACACAUACAUAGCAUACACUUCAGAUUUCAUUAAUUGAUGGAAUUUUGCUCCCUCCAUUUAUUAUUAAAUAAUAAGAUGUUGUGUUUCUUCAGUCUAGGAUUUAACUGUUGUUCAAGUUGCAAGCCUUUUUUUACUUCUGGCCACAUUCAUAUAAUCAAAUGGAUAUAACUAGAAGAGUCUCGACAGAGACAAUCUGUCACCAUUUACUGUAGGACAGCGUUUUUUCAAACUUUGCAUGCUGGCUGAGGAAUUCUGGGAAUUAAAAUUCCAUCCUGUAAAGUUGCCAAACUUGGAAAACACUGAUUUUUUUUUCAAACUGAUUAUGUAAGAAUUUCAGCCUAUUAAGUCCCAGCAUUUGUUUUUUUAACCUCUGAAUAUGUUGGAAUUCUCAAUGAAUGACGGGAGUUAUAGUCACAGUUAAUCUUGGAGCCACUUGGUUGGGAAAGGCUAUACUGUAUUAGAUAAGAAAAGCACCACUCUUGAGUUUAUAGAAGGUAGCACAGAGCUAAAUUCUGUAGCCAAGGAGAGUAGGGCUUAUACCAAAUUAGUAGAAUUUAGACAAGAUUAAUACAGGGGAGAUAUGAACUUAGAUACGCAUAUAAAGAAAUAAACCCUAGCAACGAAAUCAUUUUACCUCAGAGGAAAGAGGUUCAAAGGGAAUUAUAGGGUCCUUGAUAUGUGCCGUUUGAAGAGCUGAUUUUGACUUAUAAAGCUCUUUAUAUUUUGGCGUCUGGAUACCUAUAGCACAGGGUUGCCUAGCUCUGCUAUAGCACCACAUACUCCAACCAGAGUGGGCCUGGCUUCCUUGGUCAUAUAGGAAGAAACCGCUGUAAGUGGCCACUUAGAGGAAAUAAAAGGGUUCUGAGGCUUCUUCACCUUUGUGGUGCUGGUUCUGUAGAACAGCCUCCCUGUGAAAACCAGGCUGGUGUCCUCCUUGGAUUGUUCUGGAGUACCCUGAUUACAUUGGGCCAUUUCUGUUUUAUUUUUUGAGUUGUUGUAUUCUCGAGUUACUGUUACUAUUGCAUUGUUUUGAUUUUAUGCUGAAUUUAUUCCUACCGUGGACAUUUUUAAGCCUUUUU